rnacentral:tRNA from 1 species
UCCCUGGUGGUCUAGUGGCUAAGACUCCACGCUCCCAAUGCAGGGGGCUCAGGUUCGAUCCCUGGUUGGGGAA